rnacentral:rRNA from 1 species
UACGAAGGGUGCAAACGUUGCUCGGAAUUAUUGGGCGUAAAGCGCACGUAGGCGGCUUGGCAAGUCGGAUGUGAAAUCCCUCGGCUCAACCAAGGAAGUGCAUCCGAAACUGCUGAGCUUGAGUACUUAAGAGGAUCGCGGAAUUCCCGGUGUAGAGGUGAAAUUCGUAGAUAUCUGGAGGAACACCGGUGGCGAAGGCGGCGUCCUGGACCAACACUGACACUGAGGAGCGAAAGCCAGGGGAGCAAACGGG